AACGCGAAGAACCUUACCUGGGCUCGAACGACUGGUAGUAGUCCGUAUGAAAGUAUGGGCGACCCGCAAGGGAGCCAGCCGAGGUGCUGCAUGGUUGUCGUCAGCUCGUGUCGUGAGAUGUUGGGUUAAGUCCCGCAACGAGCGCAACCCCUAUCCUGUGUUGCUACCCGCAAGGGAGGACUCUCAGGAGACUGCCGCGGAUGACGUGGAGGAAGGCGGGGCCGACGUCAAAUCAUCAUGGCCUUUAUGUCCAGGGCCACACACGUGCUACAAUGGCGUAUACAGAGGGAUGCAAGACCGCAAGGUGGAGCUAAUCCCUAAAGUACGCCUCAGUUCAGAUUGUGGGCUGAAAUUCGCCCACAUGAAGGCGGAAUCGCUAGUAAUCGCAGAUCAGCAGGCUGCGGUGAAUACGUUCCCGGGCCUUGUACACACCGGAGUGC
rnacentral:rRNA from 1 species